rnacentral:rRNA from 1 species
UACGGGGGGAGCAAGCGUUGUUCGGAUUUACUGGGCGUAAAGGGCGCGUAGGCGGCCUCUGCAAGUCGACUGUGAAAUCUCCGGGCUUAACCCGGAACGGUCAGCCGAUACUGCAGGGCUAGAGUGCAGAAGGGGCAACUGGAAUUCUCGGUGUAGCGGUGAAAUGCGUAGAUAUCGAGAGGAACACCUGCGGCGAAGGCGGGUUGCUGGGCUGACACUGACGCUGAGGCGCGAAAGCUAGGGGAGCGAACGGG